rnacentral:lncRNA from 1 species
GAGGCAGUGGUUCCAUUGAAGGAGUACCCCUAACUGUCAGAAGCCUGGGCGGUCAGGAUGGGGUGCUGUUGCUUGGGCUGCGGGGGGCGUUCAGUUGCCCACAGUGUAUCUCAGGGUCUCACCAACCAUCCAAGCAUGGUAGGCUGUGGCUGGCACCCAGGGUUGUGUGGCUGGGGAGGUGGUCUCCACAGUUCCCUCCCUGCCCUCCCAGGGCCCCCAUCCAUGCAGGUAACCAUCGAGGAUGUGCAGGCACAGACAGGCGGAACGGCCCAAUUCGAGGCUAUCAUUGAGGGCGACCCACAGCCCUCGGUGACCUGGUACAAGGACAGCGUCCAGCUGGUGGACAGCACCCGGCUUAGCCAGCAGCAAGAAGGCACCACAUACUCCCUGGUGCUGAGGCAUGUGGCCUCGAAGGAUGCCGGCGUUUACACCUGCCUGGCCCAAAACGCUGGUGGCCAGGUACUCUGCAAGGCAGAGCUGCUGGUGCUUGGGGGGGACAAUGAGCUGGACUCAGAGAAGCAAAGCCACCGGAGGAAGCUGCACUCCUUCUAUGAGGUCAAGGAGGAGAUUGGAAG